GUGACCCUUCAAUAUGAGGAGACAAGUGGACCCGAACCAGCAAAAUGCCUCCCACAGCAUUACAGAGCCACU